rnacentral:lncRNA from 1 species
AGCGACCAUCUGCGGUCCCAUCAAGAAGAAGAUCAUAGACCACUUCCACAAGAAGCCGGUGCCACCCAAGCCGGAGCCGAAGCCGGAGCCACCCAAGCCGAAGCCUGAGCCGGAACACCCCUUCCUCGACCAUAUCCACAAGAAGGAGAAGCACUUCUUCGACCACUUCCACAAGAAGCCAGUGCCACCUAAGCCAGAGCCGAAGCCAGAGCCCAAGCCAGAGCCCAAGCCGCAGCCUGCGCCGGAGUACCACAACCCGAGCCCUCCGGCAAAGAACUGAUGAAUAUGAUCCGCACUGGACGUUUGAUCAUGCCGUCCUGCCCCCUGUCAGAUUGUCUGCAUAAUAACAGUUUGAGAUCGAAGUCAUGCAUUAGCUUUCAUCGACAGGAGUUUUAAUUUGUACUUGUAUCUAUUUCUUCUCUAUCAAAUGCAGUUAUAUAUGGUAAGAUAAUUUAUUUAUAUUUAAUCAGUACUGUUGUGGCGGACUAUUCACUGUAUCAGCCAAAGCCAUUGGAUCGUAAGAGGUUAGCAUUGGUUAAAGAAAAAGUUAUUUUUAUCUGACAAACUAGUCCCAAUGACGGAAUUUUCCUGAUGUUGAUACGUCACGAAUAAUUUUCGAGACGUUUUUUUGCUUUAUCCUAGUGAUUUUUGGCCAUCAUAAGUAAUCUAGUUGCUGGUAGUAUCUUUUAAUUCUUAGAAUGUGCUUGGUUGCGGCUUACAAAACGUGCUACGUGCCCAAAAGCAACCAAAAUAAUUUGGUGCUUAAUUAACUUUUAUUUAUAAGCUAUGGCUGAAACAUAGAGAAUGAUAAAAAAACAUGUAUACUAAUAUAAAUUGAAUUUUUUUAAAUUGAGAGUUAAACUGAUGAGUUGCCAAGUACAUACUUCAAUCAUAUUAUUACCCUUAUAACUAUUUGACUAACAAGUCUUGCCUGUCUGUCGUACCCCCCAUUGGUUUCCCCCUCAGUUCAGUUUUAAGAGCGAACCAACCUAAGAUGAAUAAUUCAUGAAAUAUAUGUACAGUACGCGCACCUAUGGAUUUUCCUAGACUAGUAUCUCUUAUAUAAGUUCUUUUUAAUAAUUUUUUAGUUUUAGUUAAAAUGAAUGAAAAACAAAAUCAUCUAAUCCAGAAAAUGUAACCAAAAAAUUGAACAGCAAAAAAAUCCCCCAUGCUAGUUAUUGUCCUAUAAUUUGGAAUUUGUCAAGAGUUUUAUGUCUUACACAUUGAUCUCCAGUCAGUUAUACAUGCAUCCUGAUUUCAUGAACAUUUCUAGUUCAACUGUUUAACAGUGACAUGCAUGGCUACCAGCAGUAGACAUAUGCAUAUGAAAUAGUAGAACAAAUUCCACAGUAAGACCUUUCACAUUUUUUUAAUAACUCUGGUAUGGCCAGUUGACAUUAACUUCUUCCACAAUUUGGCAACUUUUUGUCAACUCUGGUGAUUGAUGCAUUCACCGAGGUGGCCAAGAUCUCAUUCUUCUGGCAUUCUGACAUCCAUUUCAAUGCUGUCCACACUUGCUAUCCACAAGUACUGGUUCACCUCCCUAGCUAGCCAUCUCUAAUACCCUCACCACCCCCCCCCCCCAAAAUCAACCAGGCAUCAAGUUGAUCUUCUACAUGACUUCCCUAUCUACUCCCAUGCCAAUCCCAUCGCAUCAAGAAUUCAAGGUGACAGUAAAGUACUUCCUAUUAUAAUCACAGACAAAUUAACUCAGACAAUCCAUACACUGCUCAGCCUAAAAAAGACCAGAUACAGGAGUGACCACAGUCAACAGUGAAACUCUGGAAUCUGAACUAUAGUUAAUUAAUUGGGACUAUUCAACCAAUUCAAUUCUCACCUGUCAGAUUUUUCACUGGACAAAUAAAAAUGACCCUACCAAAUAGCAAUUGGGAUAUUAGAAAAAUGGGCCCAACUGAUAGUGGCUUGUACAGCAAAAAUUUAUUAAAUUUUCAUGCUGUGCCUGGUUGGAUUUCUGCUGACAUCGCUUCCUAAAUGAAUUGCUAGUAUCAGUAGUACCAAAUCAAUCUGAAUUAACUGCUAGUCACCAGUACAAAAAGGUUUUUUUCUAGACGGCCCAAAACCUAAUCUCGUAUGCGGAAGGUCGGCCUGUCUGCCGCAAAUGAUUUGAAAAAAAAUCUGAUUUAUACGUAUGGGAUGUGCACCUGCACGCGAAAAUCCAAUUUUCGCGUGCGGAUGCUUAUGUCGUUCACAAGUAAAAUAAAAAUAAAAAAAUUAAAAUAAAAAUAAACAUAACCCUAGAAUCUAGGCGGCGUGGCGCGGAUCCGGCCAUCGGGCGCCUGUGGAUCGAGCCAUUGCGGGGCCGGCUCCCGCGAAUCCGGCUGUCGUGGGGCUGGCAGAGGUGGAUCCGUCCACCGUCGUCCACCGAGCCGCUUGCCCCCGCGCCCUAGGUGUCAUUCGCCACUGUCGUGUGCCGCGCUAGCUGCCGCCUGAGCGCUCAAGGAAGCCGGAGCCAUCCGCCGUCCACCGCAGGCCGUCGCGGGGCCGAUGCCCGCGGAUCCGUCUGUUGAGGGCCCGGUGGCAGCGGAUCCGGUAGUCGCGGGGCCCGCGGAGGCGGAUCCGUCCACGCCGUCCGCCAAGGUGCCAUCCGUCACCACUGUGCGCUGCGCCCGCUAGCGCCCGCCGCCACCACCAUGCGCCGCUAACACCGCCGCCGCUUGCCAGUGAGUUAGAGAGGAGAGGAGGUGAGAGUGAGAAGAGAGGAGAGUAUAAGGUUGAAAUAAUGAGGAGAGGAAGUGAGAAAGGAUAGGGAUGAAAAAUUUUGAAGUGUUGAGGAGAGAAAUGAGGAGGUAACUCAGACUUUGGGCGGAUCCUUAAGAGGCUGUAUGUGAAAAUCGAUUUUCGUAUGUUGUUGCAUAAGAGGCCCCUUAAGUUGUAUUGACUGCUAUGUGUCUACGGGAGUUAUUUUAAAGAUGGCAAUCUAUUUCAUGGAUUGAUAGUCUUACUCAAUAUUUCUUAUACUUCCUAGAUUUUUAUAUCUAGCUCGUGGGUGUGUUUCGACUGAUAGGUGCUCUCAUUACGGUUCUAUCUUGAUUCAGUUCACUGAGUUUAAUUAAUGAAGCUUUCAUUAUCUAAAAAUGUCUAGAAGCAUUAUCUACCGUAUAAUUGUUAGGGAUAAUGACGUUCAAAAACAUAAAGACAACAUCUAACUUUACAUGAUGAUAUAGUGGUAACUGUUCAAUACUUGCUGCACCUAGAGAGAGAGAGAGAGUGACAGUACAGAUGUAUCCAUGUAACCAAUAAUCUAGCUACUUCUGCAGGAACCAACCAAGAAUUGCUGCGUAUUGGCAGCUUGCAAUGAAUGUCACUCAAUCAAGCAUGCAGCAGGAGGGUUGCUAUCACCUUUCCAUUGCAUUGCCUUAAUCAGAUUAAUAUUGUGCAGAAAUUAAGCAAAACCACAUGCAGCCUCGUGUUAGGUGAAUUUGGCGCCGAACGGAUUGAUGAAACAGCCAAACCUCCUCGAGCUCAACUAAUUAUAUACCCGAUUUUAGGCUAAUGUUUACUCUUAAUUAAGCAAUGAACCUAGAUGUAAGAAAUUACGCGUGUUCACUCUUAGAAUUUUAUAUGAUAAUAGUAGAAAUAACAAGAUAUGUAGAUAGGUAGACAACAUAACUUCAUAUGCUUCAUUUAUAUAAAUUUUAUCUUUGAUCGACUAUUAAAAAAAAGCUACAAACAAUUAAUAUGGUGAUGUUUGAUUUAAAAAAAAUGUUAAAAAUAUAGUCAUAAUUCGACAUAUUUUAAUAAAAAAACAUGACAGUAAACAUGACAUGUGAAUGAAAUGAUGAUCCAAUGUAGUGCUAAACAUUAAUAUGUAAUAGUAAUAGCUAGCAUCAUGCAUGUAGUAACAUGUUUAGCAAUAAACUGAAUAGAGCAUUAUAUUUGAAGACCGCUCCAGAUUUCAGAUGAGUCAUUGUUGAUGUGUUGCCUCUGUUGUCGUCGCUGUUCUCUCCUCUACCUCUGUUGCUAAUGUUCCCUUCUCCACUGGCAUCGUUCUUAGUACUGAUCGACAUGAUCCAAGUUAUCUAUGUAGAGGAAAGAGAACGUGACGUAUAGGAUGCAAAGCCAAGAGCAGUAGCGUGAAAAAGUGCUCCCUAAAAACUUGAUUGUCCGUCUACCUAUCCAGGUACUCAGGUGGACAGAGUUCUGGAGGCGUGUCCCAAGUACCCGUGCACGUAGGCUGCAUAGAAACAGAAGAAUAGAGUGUGUCGUCUCACGGAGAACUAGAGGAGAGAUCUGCCUAUACUUGGAGGAUAACGAGAGAGAGGGAGACGUUAUGGGAGGGAUUAAUUUCGAUUGAGUGCUCCGCCCAUUACAACAGAACAAGUCUCCGUCAGUUAUGUUUUUACACAUAAAAAUGAAACAUCCUGAAGGAAUGCAGCCGUUGUCGCCUCGCUCUCUUGCUCGCACACUCUCCUCGGCCUCCUCCACAGCCAUGGCCUCCCCCGGCUCGGCGUGACUGCACGCACGCGUGUGCAGUCCCACCACCAUAUCAACUGCUAAAUAUGUGCUCUCAGUUAACAGCCAAUUUAAGAUGAGGUCUUUUUCCAUUGGUUUCCAAGGUAGUAUUAAUUAAUCCCAUAGCAUUAAUUGUUGGCCUUUGGAAUUACUAGGUUUAAUUUUAGGCCGAUAUCAUUUAAUUCUAACAAUUCCCACCGAAUUUUAAGGCUCAUAGAAAAUGUUCUCAGCUUUGUUUUUGUUUGUUAUACCAGUGUUUUGGUUGAGACUGUUAACUUGAACUUUCACCCAGAAAAAGAACUACACCUGACCACAACUGAUUAAUGGAUUAUGUCUUGAAUUAUCAGUCUUGUUCAGUCAGGCUUUACUCAAUUCCUUAACUGAUACUAGGCUGGCAUUAGCAUCCCCUCUAUUUGGAGCAUUUAAGUCAUACUAUUGGCUUUUCCAUAAGUAUCUAGAGAUCAGCCAAAUUUUAUAGGCUGUGAUUAGCAGUCGGACUCAUAUUGGUGUGUUCCUUCUAAGAUGUUUUAUAGGCCAACAUCUCUACUUUAAGAAAAAUCACUCAAUCACAUUAAUGUAUCUCCAACUUGCCAUACAGACCAGGAGAGAACUACAUCAAAGAAAGAAGCCUUUUUAAGGUCUCUUCUCCCAGCUACCUAAUAGGAUGUUUCGCCACCCUAAUUUACCAGAUCUUUGAUCACAUAGGACAGGUUACCACUAUUGUGUAGCUCAAGUAUGUCUCAAGCCCAUCUCACUCGAUGCAUUGUCUGUCACAAACCCGUAUGGCUGGUCCAUAUAGCUCACCUCCUCCAACUCCCCAUUAAGAAAAGUUGUUUCAACGUCCAUCUGAUGAACGAUAAGACCAUAAGAGGCUACCAGAACAAAUAAUACUCAAAUUGUGGUCAAGCGAGCAACUGAUGAAUAAGUGCCGAAAAAAAUCAUUGCCUUAUUUUUGGGUAUAACCCUUGGCCAUAAGUCCUGCCUUAUACUUUUCAAUUGUACCAUCAGGCCUAAACUAUUUUCUUGAGAACUCAUUUGUAUCCUAUAGGUUUGCAGUCGUAUGGACACUCGACAACUUCGCAAGUACCAUUAGACGUAAUUGAGUCCAUCUCACUGCAUAGCGCUUCCUUCCAAUAGUCAGCAUCAGGAGAUGAAUAUACCGAGAUGAAUAUACCUCUUCUAUGGUUCUUGGAGUAUCAUCCACAAGGUAUACAAUGUAUUCAUCAUCAAAAGACUUUGCAGUCCUUUAUCUCUUACUCUUUCGAGUAGCUAUAGUGUUAUCCUCCUCAAGAUUUUUCCACAGGCGUUGUUCAUCGUGUUCUAUCGGCACAAAAGACUCGGGGAUAAAAUAAGUUCUUGACUAGAAGUGCUAGGUACAUAUUUCUAGGAAAUCCAUUCUAAAAAAUUGUAGCAUCUCUAGGCUCAAGAAUUGUACCAACAAUCAUAUCAGGUAUUCCAGAAUUUACAAUUAAGAAUCUUUAUCCCACGCUGUGGAUAGCAUAACUAAGGAAUACACAAUUUAUGGUUUUUGGUCCAAGUUUGUGCCUUUUGACUAUAGGCGCAUUGACCUUAGCCAAACAUUCCCAUGUGCGCAAGUAUGAGAGAUUCGACAUUUUCCUUUCCAGUUCCUCGAACGGUGUUACUUCUUUAUUCUUAGUAGGAAUUUAUUCAGCACAUGACACACGGUCAAUAUAGCCUCACCCCACCAUUCCUUGGAAAGCCCUGCAAUGUCUAACAUGUCAUUCACCAAACUCAGUUAGAGUGUGAUUCUUUCUUUCGGCAAACCCGUUUGACUAGGAAAAAAAGGGAGUCGUUCUCUCAUGAAUAAUUUUAGACUCUUCAUAGAAAGAAGUAAAUUUAUUUGAAAAAUACUCUCCACCUCGAUCAGACCUCAACCGUUUAACUUUUCUUUCAAGUUGGUUUUCUACCUCAGCCUUAUACAUUUUCACGUAAUGCAAUGCAUCAUCUUUUGCAAAAUCUAAUGCAAUUAUCUAUAAGUGUCAUGAAGUAUUUCUUUUUCCCCUUUAGUCAACACACCAUACAUUUCGCACAAAUCAGAAUGACCAAUUUCUAGCAGUGCCAAAUUUCUUGUCUCUGAUGCCUUGUAAGGCUAAGUAUGGCAUUUGGAACCUUUUACCAAAGUGAAUUUCGGAAUUAAUUAACUCAUUGUAGCUAAGCACAACAUGCAACUAAAAUUCACAUGACAGACGUGAAUGCCAAACAUUGGACUCAUCAUCAUUACUCACAUAGUUCACAACAUUAUUACAUGCGUCAUCCAACAUUAUUACAUGUGUCAUCCACAGAAAAGCGGUACAAACCUCCGUUGUCAUAACCUUUAGCAACAAAUGUUUCAUAUUUAGACACGACACAUUUAUUGGACUCAAACACAAGUUUAAAAUUUUAAACAUUGAUCGUGCCAACACAUGCGAACCGUUCUGCAUCAGCAAGGAGGAAUCUCUCCUGACCUGAUAAAAAUAAAACAGGGAAAUAUCAACACACAACCACCAGUAUCAACCCACCACUUAGGUGAAUGAAAUACAUAACGAACUGUAGGUAAAAAAUUACCAUACCAAGAUGUUACUCCUCCAUCGCUAAUAACCAUGUUUGCAGAUUUUUUGACCUUGCGAUCAGGGCAAUACUUGGCCCAAUGACGACUUAACACACACACACAAAGCAGUUAUCCUUUGCCUUUCUCUUGCCUUUUUUUUUUAAAAUUGGUUAUAGCCUUGGGUUUGAUAUCAUAUAUGACUUUUUUUCAUAAAAUUAGUUGUAGCCUUGUUGUGGGAUGCUUGAGCAUUCCUUUUCUGCACCAAAUGCUAAAACCUCCCUCAAACUUUUUGUCGCGGUUGUUCUUUGCUAUCACCUUCUCCUCAACACCCAAAGAGGCAAUGAGAUCAAUAACACUGAACACUUGCCUCAUGUGUUUUAGACAAGUAGCAAAGUCCAACCAAUAUGUCAUCUAUCACAAACUUGUCUAGCAACUCGUAGAUGUUGUUCUCAAGUUCCUUUGGUAGUGCCUGAAACUCAUGAGCUUGUUUUACUAUAGAACGGUCAUCGACGAUCUUAUACUCAUAGCAAUGUUUCAUGACAUACAACUCACUGCCAGUAUCGAAGACUCCGAACAUGGCCUCAAGUGCAUCCCACAUAUCCUUUCGUGAAGGCAUGUGCAUGUACACUUCUACUCUUUUGUUGGCUAAUACACUUAUCUAUGCUCCACGGAACAAGCAAUUCGCGAACUCGAACUUAGCCUCCUCCACAGGGGAGAGACCGUACGAUCGUCUUGCCCUAUGAAACAAAGAAAUAUUGCAUAGCCGUCAACCACAAUAGUGCACGUGCCUUCUAUCUCUUAUAAUUUGAACCAUCAAUUGCAUGAGGUUUAAGUGAUGCAGCAAAGGCAACUACCAAAAAGACCUGUCAAGUUUUUGGAUUGUUGAAAAUAUAAUCAUAAUCUCUACUAUCAUAAAAUUGAAGAUAUUUUUCUGGUAUUUUGGUAAGUCAUCCGUGCUUGAGUCGGUUUUAAUUUCUUGUUUCGGUUUUAAUCUCUACUCCUCAAAAUCCGUAAUUUAAAAAAGGGCGAAAAAAAUCACACGGAAAAAGAAAACGCCCAUAAAAUAACAUGAAAGAUAAACAGGGAAAAAAACGUCCGAUUCGUACCGGAACGAAAAAAAGGCAAAAAAUGCUGGGUAAAACAAAAAAAACCGACCAUAAAAAAAUGCAGGACAUUGGCAAAGUACUUCAGAUAUAACAUGUACUACUCACUGUAGUUAUGUGGUACUUCUAUUCAAUUAAUCAUCUCUCAGUACACAUUGCACAAAGUUAUAAGUUCUCACCCGUAGUUUACAUUAGGACCAGUUCGAUUAUUGUACUUGUAACGAUGAUUCAUGCUGUCAUGCAUGCAUAAAGCGGUGCGUGGAUCCUACGUAUGCCAGCCAUUAAUGGAUAGGUUAUUAUCAUUUAUAUUCUCUUCGUCUCAGGACAAACCAACUUAAGAUAUAAGAUGCUACUCAACUAAGGUCCUGUUUGUUUCAGCUUAAAAUUAUUGUAAUCUAGACUAUUAAAUCAGAUUACUCUAAGCAGGAUUAUAAUAAGCUGACAUAAAAUAAGCUACGAGUUGUUUGUUUCUCUAGAUUAUUAGAGUCAUCUAAGGGUAGUGGGUCAUUAGCCACUUAAUAAUCUGGAAAAAGCUCCUCUAGAGGAGAUUAUUGGAUUAUAGUAAUCUGGCUUAUAGAUUAUAAUAAUCUAGCAUAAUAAUCUACUUGUUUGUUUUAGCUUACUCCUAAUAAUCUAGAUUAUAAUAAUCCUAAGCUGAAUCAAACAGGGCCUAAGCCAACCAAAGGGGGUGAAUGGUUGGUAUACCAAAAAACCGAAACUUUUAGCGGAAAUAAAAAUGACCCCCAAAUUCGACGGAGAUCGGUCUGACCGCAGUUGUCCAGCCGGUCUGACCGCGCCUGUGCCGUCGGUCCAACCGGUGUAGAACGAUCGGUCUGACCGCCCUGAGAUCGCCUUUACGCCGCCGGUCUGACCGCCUUUACGCCGCUGGUCUGACCGCCGUGAUGCCGCCGGUCUGACCGCCGGUGUGUCGCUAGUUAGACCGCCGAAAUCCGGUGAAAUACAAAUCGAAGAACUCUUAAAGUGGGUGACUACUUUAUUGAUUCUCUCUGUGUUUACAAACUCAUACUAGAAGUCCUAUACAACUUAGGAAACCCUCUAGUACAAGAAACAAACUUUACAUAACCACUCAUACCAAAUUUGGACUCCUUUCAAAUUCGACUCCGCAUUCCAUACACACACAAUACCUCCAUCGUAUACCAUAUGGAAUCUUCACCAACCAUGUGUAUUGAACUCUAGCCGUAGUAUCCCGUAUGAUCUCUGACCACCACGGACGUCGUCUUAUCCCCAAGCCGACUCUUAGUCCAUCACCGCAAAUACUCUCCUGCCAUCCGAGUCACCUACACAUAGAACAAACAAAGAAAUCAUAUUCCGAGACCAAGCUAUCUCCAACCUUGACUCAUUAGUAGCAAACAACAGUAUUACAUACGUAUAGUAUCCAUCUAGAAGCCAUAAUCAUGAAACAAUCACGGAUAUCCAAACAAACAACCCGAAACCGAAACCGACACAGAGUCCGCCGGUCAGACCGCGGGCUGCACCGGUCUGACUGCGCGAUACACGCCGGUCUGACCGGUAGCACAUGCCUGGUCUGACCGGACCUAUUCCAGCAGUACCUGUAGAUUUACCUGUGAAAUCCAAUCAUCUCCUAAACCACUUCGUGAAUAAAUUCUAAAUAUCAAAACCAAUAAUCUCCGAUGCCAAUUGUUCAUCACAGAAUAACAAUCAAAAACACCUUUAAUUUUACAGUUACAUAGUCUAGUAUAACGAAUCUGAAUAUCAUCAUGUCCAGAUUUAUUGUAUUAAGUUAUACCAUAUCCUUUCACAGAUUUACUACUGAGUGAUCAGAUCAUUCAGUUUGGACGGCAUCAAUUCGCCCAUCUACAAAUACGGCGCCAACUUGGUCUUUUUAAUUUGCUCAUAGCUGGUAGAUCAUAGUUGGAUCGAUCAACAAUGCAAGCUGUGUAUAUUGAUCGCCUAUAUAAACCACGCGUUGCCUCACCUUUCACUUCAUCCAUCUCUACACAUCAGCAAUAGCUACACAGAGCUAAGCUAGGGUUAGCUCAGCAAUGGCAGGUGCUCCUCGAGGACUAGUUCUCCUCGGCGUUUGUGCCGUCUUGAUGGCGGUCGCCGUCGGCGGAGAGGCGGCGUCGGUCGUCGUCGGCACGGCCAAGUGCGCCGACUGCACCAGGAAGAACAUGAAAGCUGAGGAUGCUUUCAAGAGUACGUAACAAUUUAUCUGGAAUUCACUGAGCUGAUCAGCUAUACACCAUCAGGAUCAGAAAGAUAUAGCUAAUUACAAGUGAUUGACAAUAUUAUUUGGAAUUCUUUUAUUCAGACCUCCAGGUGGCGAUCAAGUGCAAGAACGGCAAUGGUGAGUACGAGAGCAAGGCCACCGGAAAGCUCGACGGUACCGGCGUCUUCAGCAUCCCCCUCGACGCCGACCUCCACAGCUCCGACUGCGUCGCACAGCUCCAUGGCGCGACCAACGAGCCAUGCCCCGGACAAGAGCCAUCCAAGAUCGUGCCAAUGUCAGAGGGCACCUUUAUCGCCGUCGCCGGCCAGACCCACUACCCAUCAGCGUUGUGCGCAUCGGCGACCAUCUGCGGUCCCAUCAAGAAGAAGAUCAUAGACCACUUCCACAAGAAGCCGGUGCCACCCAAGCCAGAGCCAAAACCGGAGCCACCCAAGCCCAAGCCUGAGCCGGAGCACCCAUUCCUCGACCACAUCCACAAGAAGGAGAAGCACUUCUUCGAUCACUUCCACAAGAAGCCCGUGCCGCCCAAGCCAGAGCCCAAGCCGGAGCCCAAGCCAGAGCCCAAGC